UCACCCCUCAAGCCCGGCUUGUUGUUGGACGCCGGUGGUGGCCCUUGUGCCCCGCCCGUCUCAAAGAUAAUGACGGCGUCUGUGAGGACUCCUGUACAUUGAGCUUUCGAGCACGUACUAGGUCAGCUCUCCAGGCCCGGUCUUUUAAGUUGCUUCGGCGACGAACUUUUCUAA
rnacentral:misc_RNA from 1 species